GAUGAAGAACGUAGCGAAAUGCGAUACGUAAUGUGAAUUGCAGAAUUCAGUGAAUCAUCGAGUCUUUGAACGCACAUUGCGCCCCCUGGUAUUCCGGGGGGCAUGCCUGUCCGAGCGUCGUUGCUGCCCUCAAGCACGGCUUGUGUGUUGGGCCUCCGUCCUCCUCCCGGGGGCCGGGCCCGAAAGGCAGCGGCGGCACCGCGUCCGGUCCUCGAGCGUAUGGGGCUUCGUCACCCGCUCUUGUAGGCCCGGCCGGCGCUUGCCGACACAUCAAUCUUUUUUCCAGGUUGACCUCGGAUCAGGUAGGGAUACCCGCUGAACUUAAGCAUAUCAAUAAGCGGAGGA
rnacentral:misc_RNA from 1 species